rnacentral:lncRNA from 1 species
UGAUAACUCCUGGCACAACCAUUAAGACCCUCAUCUAUAGUGGAUUGGAACAAAGCACAGGUGACUGUAACACAGAUUGAUGAAAGAUUCUGCAGGACGACAAAGGUUAAAGAUGCAGACCCGGAGCUAGAAGCCAGCACUGACAAUGAUGGAGUGGACUGCGAUGAGAAUGCCCACAUUAUUGUCCUAUCCUCUGAUAACCAAUGUAAUAUGAAAACCAACUACAGAAGAAAGGAACAAAUUAAAUCCAUUAAUCAAGCAUAUCUCUGCUAAACAGUUGUUCGAAACUGAUGAACAAAUGAAAAAUUUACUGUUUGUUUUCACGCUUGCAAGGAUUGGGGAAGAAAAUUAAUUAUAAGGUACUGGCGACACUAUUAGUUAAGUUUUUCUUGAGGAAACUAUUGCUUUGUCAAAGGACAAAUGAACCUCAUUAGGGAGAUUAGUUUCAGCUGGUAGUUUUGCAUUAGUACAAACUAAUAAUACACACUUCAAAAGAUACCCUGAGUAAGAUUAUGGAAAUUGAAAUCCAUUUGUUACUUCUUAAUUUACUAACUGUUAGAAAAUGACCACUCUAUUACUUAUCAUGAAACCGGAAG